rfam:Rhodobacter capsulatus SB 1003, complete genome.
CACAACCAAGGCGGGAUUGGUUCCCCGUUCAUGCGGGGAUGAAAAGGGAAUGCGGUGCGCCGAACGGCAAACCCGCAGCUGCCCCCGCAACUGUAAGCGGCGAGCGACGGUCGAAGAUGCCACUGGGGAUGCCCCGGGAAGGCCGACCCGAGCCCGGACCCGCAAGCCAGGAGACCUGCCACCCCCCGGGCCAAGGC